rnacentral:rRNA from 1 species
UACGAAGGGGGCUAGCGUUGUUCGGAAUUACUGGGCGUAAAGCGUAUGCAGGCGGACUUUUAAGUCGGGGGUGAAAUCCCGAGGCUCAACCUCGGAACUGCCUUCGAUACUGGAAGUCUUGAGUCCGGGAGAGGUGAGUGGAACUCCGAGUGUAGAGGUGAAAUUCGUAGAUAUUAGGAAGAACACCGGUGGCGAAGGCGGCCCACUGGUCCGGUACUGACGCUGAGGUGCGAAAGCGUGGGGAGCAAACAGG